GGCCCUGUAGCUAGACGGUUCAAGCAGGCGGCUCAUAACCGCUCGUAGCAGGUUCGAUUCCUGCCAGGGCCACCA
rnacentral:tRNA from 2 species